rnacentral:rRNA from 1 species
CGGGUGAGUAACGCGUGAGGAACCUGCCUCAAAGAGGGGGACAACAGUUGGAAACGACUGCUAAUACCGCAUAAGCCCACGGCUCGGCAUCGAGCAGAGGGAAAAGGAGCAAUCCGCUUUGAGAUGGCCUCGCGUCCGAUUAGCUAGUUGGUGAGGUAACGGCCCACCGAGGCGACGAUCGGUAGCCGGACUGAGAGGUUGAACGGCCACAUUGGGACUGAGACACGGCCCGG